CAACAAUGCAGGAUUUGUGUAGUUCAACCCGAGAUUCUAUUUAGAGGACUGAGGAAAUGGCAAGUAGCCCACCCCGUCGUCAUUCCCAGGGACUCCUGAAUCACGCCAACACGAUGGUAGCUCCAAGAAACUGAUGUCAUCUCAGUCACUUGGCAAAAGCAUGUGUCCCGUGACUAGGAAAAUCUUUGUCAGUUCAUUCUGCUGGGCAGUAGCAAAGGCUUGGACAGAAAAGUCAGAUGCAAAGUUAACAGGAGAUGGUGUCUGCCACAGUCAGGUUCUGAGUCAUGAGGAAACAUACGUAGACACUACUGUAAUCGACUUGGCAGAUGAAGAUAUUCUAAAGAGACACCUCAUUUCAAUCUGAUUGUCAGACUACUGGACCCCAAAGAAGCAAGGAUCUCCUCAGGAGUCUCCUGCUGGGUGAAGGAAAAGGCUCCAGUCAGAGGGAAUCUUGUUUCCCAGAAAGAGAGUUCACACAGUUCCAACAACUUGUCAGAUCAUCUUACAGGAUGAGACUGAAGCCCAGACAGAGAUGGUUAAUGGUGGGCGGAACCACAUCUUGACCAGGACUGCCGAGAUGUGCGAUCCUUGGCCCUCUAUUUGAAUUUUGAUCUCAUUACAGGACCCUGAAGACCAAACCAGACUUGAGGGGGAAGAAGGCAACUCAAGGUAUCUUUAACACGAUACAAAGGACAACUGAACAGCCCAAAAAGCAAUCAGGGUUCUCUGCCCUGUGGGAAGUCCAAGGACCACCCACCUCCAUCCAGGUCUAGUAAGGUGAGCAUCCAAACUGCCUAGGCUCCCACGUAACCAAUAGGUACAGUAGGAUUAAAAACCCAUUGCCAUUGUUCUUGCGGUCUCAGUAGUCCUCAUUGUCCGCUAUGUUCAGCUAGACCGGUUUUAACCCAGGCUUUUUCAUACUCAGGCCAGCUGGCCUUGGUGCGUUCCCAAUAGAACAUCCCCAUUGUCUCAGUGUGUGGGUGCACCCCUCGCGGUCCUGAGUUCCUUGCUUGUGUUCUCUCUCCUUCUGCUCCUGAUUUGGACCUUGCGAUUUCUGUCCGGUGCUCCAAUGUGGGUCUCUGUCUCUGUCUCCUUUCAUCGCCUGAUGAAGGUUAAUAUUCAGGAGGAUGCCUAUAUGAUUUUCUUUGGGUUCUCCUUAUUUAGCUUCUCUAAGAACCCGAAUUAUAGGCUCAAUGUCCUUUAUUUAUGGCUAGAAACCAAAUAUGAGUGAGUACAUCCCAUGUUCGGCUUUUUGUGUCUGGCUUACCUCACUCAGGAUAGUGUUUUCUAUUUCCAUCCAUUUGCCUGCAAACUUCAAGAAGUCCUUGUUUUUUACUGCUGAGUAGUACUCUAAUAUGUAUAUAUUCCAUACUUUCUUCAUCCAUUCUUCAAUUGAAGGGCAGAUAUUUUGUAUUUCUUUAAUGUCUGUCUUUAAAGUUAAUUGAUAGGUAAUCACUUGAUGUUUUUGGCACUAAUAUUCCAAUUAAAGUGUGAUAUACUAUAAUAAUUUAAGGAAUUGGCACAGAAGACACAUAAAUAGAAUGAAUAUUAAUAAUUCUUUUUUAUUUACUUUGGAUUGGAUUUAAUAAGACUUGGUUUUUGGUGAGAAUAAGUACAAAAGUGAUAUUCUCUCAGUAAAGACUGGGCUGGCUAGUUUUUGUUGACUUGGCAAAAACUGCAGACACGUUGGAAGAGGGAAUCUCAGCUGAGGAACUGGUCCCAUCAUGUUGGUGUAUGGGCAUGCAUGAGGAGCAUUUUCUCGAUUGCUCUCGGAGGGAAGAGGGCUUUACUAUAGGUGGUGCAACCCUGGCUAUGUGGUCCUGGGUUGUAUAAGACAGAUUGCUGCAUAAGAACCUGCAAGCAGGUCAGAAAGCCCAGUCCCUCCAUGGCCUUUCCUGCCAUUCCUGCUGCUAGGUUCCUGCCUCCAGCUCCUUCCCCGACUUCCUCAGUGCUGGGCUGUAAGAUGAAAUAAAUCCUUCCUUCUCCGCAGCUGAUUUUGUCACAGCAGCAGAGAAGCAAGCGAGGACAGACUGCACCAUGGUUCUUUAGAAACCAGAUAGGCUUUAUUUUGAGGUCCGCCAACUAGAACAAAGGCCUCUGUUCUUAUUCAAAAGACACUACUGCAUUAUUCAAUUGAUAUGGUUGAUUUUAAGUAAAGCAACUCCUGGCUGUAUUGCAAUGCAUCCACUAGAUGGCAGGCCACUGCUGGAGGAAGAAAAUUCAUGGUAUUUUUAUGACAUGGGUUUAUUUCUACCCAGUUGUCUCUGUCAACAGGCCUUGCUAAUAGCACCUUGAUUUCUAUAAAGUUUCUCAACAUUAGCUUUUCAGAGUUUUAAAAAGCAAUUGCAACACACUCCACGAACUGUACCUGCCAGAAUAUUUUCCACUACCACAUCUAACCCUAGGCUGAUCUUUUAUACACCAUAAUUUUCUUAGACCAUAAUGUUGUCCCGAUCUAACACGGAAAUCAAAAUACAGCAAUGAGGAAAAUGCAUUAUUUGAGUAAGUGGAGAACAGGCAAUUUUUAUUAUGUGAGCCCUGCAAUUUAAAUGUGUCCAGGAAGGAUUCCUUUGGAAGCAACGGAGUGCAAACACAGUUCUGCUCACCAGUGUGUCAGCACUCUGAGUGAGCCUGGUGAGUGCUGGUUCCCCUUUGUUAGUGCCUGCACUUGAUGUGUCUAGUGGAUGUUUGAGAUGGAAACUAUGUCCGUGCAAUCUCCAUUUCUGUGCAAUCUCCAUUCCAGAAGUAGGUAGAAAGAUCGUGCAGGGCUUGUGAUCUUUGGGGGGACUGGCUAGGCUCCCUCUAUGAUCAUUAAGGAUAUUUUCUUUCUUUGCUGCAUUGCUCUUAUGUGCUCUGUCUUGUAGGAGGCCAAUAAGAUUCAAAUAUGAGCUGACUUGCAUGCUUAAAUUAAAUGAACUUACCACGCAAGGGAGCUGUGCUGGUGCCCUGUCAUAUGCAGAGUUUGUGUUUUCUCAUUGCUAUGAAGGUCACCCAUUAACUUACGGUAUUCAAGGUUAUCCCUUAGCAUGUAUGUGUCUUCCAUUAAAAGCAGAUGUUAUUCCGUAUGGGCCCAUUGCGAGCUUUGCAUCUGCUGCCUUUAACCUUGGCAUCUAUAUCUAGCUUAGUUAACUGAAGAUGAAGCUCUAAGGAGGGCCCAUUAAAUUUUAGUUAACAAGACUUGACAGAAAGACCACUUCAGUCUUUUUGUCGGACAAAUUCAGAAAUUCAGCAGGACAGAUUAACAGCACGUGCACUGCACACCUGUGGCCUGAGGUUCAUUCCUGGCUCUUGAGCAUUGAAUGAGGAGUGAAGAAAAAAUAAACGAGGGUCAAAGGAGUUUCUCAUUAAAGGUCAGAGCCUAACCCUUCCCGUCCCUCAUCUGUUAAAGAUUUUGAAUGUCUAUUUAGAGAUGAAAGCAUGAGGUCUUCGAAUUGGACUUCCCUUGACCCCCAUUCCAUAUUAAAAAACACGAUUUGAUUUUUUCUGCACUUAGAACUCAAUUUAAUUCUCUUAACUACAUCGUUUUUUUUUUUUUUGAGUUUAAUGGUCUCUAGUACAAAACAGGUGCAUAACACCAUUUCUCACUGUGUUUGAAUACUCAGUCAAGAGGCUUUGUCCUAGGAGCAACUGAUGUUGUAACAGCAGUAGUCUAUGACAAACAUUCUUAAUUUUGUAUAAGGAAAAAUUAGAAUAAUUGAAUGACAAUUACUUCACUUAUUAUUUAACAAAUAUUUACAUUGUGCCUACUCUUGCAACCCCCAGUGCCACACAAACAAAACCAAAAAUAAAUACAUGUGUAAUUUCUCAGUACAUUGAAGACAAUAGGAAGCAAGAAGCUCAAAGUUCUUGAACUAAAUUUCCGUUCUUGUCGUAAAAACUUGUUUGACUCUAAAGAAAUAAUAGCAUUAGAGUGAGCUGGCCCUGUCCCAGGCCUUGUCACAGUUGUCUUGCUUCACGUCCGUGUGUUUGUAAUUGCUACUCUUGAAGCUAAGUCUUCCCAGUAGUCAACCCAGUCCUAUCACUAGCAAGUGCAAACUCAGAAUGGAAGCUACUGUCUUUGAAAUGAUGUUGCCCCUUUGCUCUUGCUUGGAGUUUUCCAUGGAAAGUCGGGUAUACUUUGCUUUAUCUGUUGUGCUCUUAGUUUGAAAGUUGAGGCUGACACACCUCCCUGAACGUUUGCUAUUAGGGCUUCGGUGAUUUUCAGUUUGAUUUUUCUAAGGGGAAGACAGUGCUUCUUCUUAGGUUGGCUAAGCACACAGUGACUAUGAGCACGUGAUAGGUUAUUUACAAAUUAGGGUUCUUUUGAGAAUGAAAGGACAUUUAAUAAGGAUGCCAGGCAAGGGGUAUAAACUGUAACUGUCCUGAACAAGUGGAUAGAAGAUGGUCCUACAUAAUGGCCCACCCUGGUCAGUGUUUUUCCUACACCUUCUCUUCAUGAGUAGUAAAUUUAGAUAAUCAGUUUUAAAAUAGGCAAUGAUCUAUUACAGCCUACAAUAUAUGUAACAUUGUACAAGUUUAAAGUGUGCACAGUGAUACAGUGUAACACACACACACACACAGACACACACACACACACGCACUUCAAGACCAUGAAUCUAACAAGAAUAUCUUUCCUGUAUCUCUUCUGUGGGAGCCAAGAGAAGUGGAUCUGUUCCACCUUGACCAGAGGUCAGCGAAUUCAAGCCUAUUCCUGCUCCUUCAAGGAUAUGACAGGAGGCUUGACCCAGGGAGUGGAUGCCUACAGGAUGCUUGGUCCAAGACCUGUGGGAUCAGAACUCUGGAGGUGGGACCCAGAUCUUUGCGGAUUUUUCAAAAGAGUCUUCAACUCUCUCUAUAGUUCGAGAGACUUUGUUUUAGAAGACCUAUUUCCAUCUGAGAAAUAACACAUGGAGAACGGAUUGUGUUUAACCUCCAAGUGCGUUGAUAAUAGGAAGAACACUGAAUAGAAGCUAAUGAACUCCAGCUCUUGCUGCAAGUUCCUGCACGCUCGUGAGACAUUUUUCCAUUGCCAAGAGAUUUGGCAGAAAUGAGUGAAGUUCAAGGAGGCAGAUUACAAUCUCUGAACCAGUGAGUGCCCUAUGUUCCAGAGAGUAGAGACCAAAAGAAUUCACUUCUCAGGAUUCAGCAUUGUACAGCCAAAGCAUGGAAUAGCCUUUCAUAUUAUCUUUUUGGGUCUACAAAUGGGGCACUAGGUUUUCAGAAGGAAGAUACCCCCUUCAGACAGGAGUAGCAGCAACAGCAAACAACAACAAAACAAUGACGAUGAUGACAAUGACAACAACAGCUUCUAACCUGGUGGAACAGCUUCAAUCUAGCAUUUGCUUUCAAGUGUUCAAUGUUCUCAAUGCACCAAGUUCCAUAAUUAUUGUAGAACGUAUAAGCUAUAAUAAACCCAUCAGUAGAUUCAGGAUUGUUUCAUUUUUCAAGAACUUUUCAUUGGGGUGUGUGCACUAAAGUCCUGGCCUGGGCAGAUGCACCGUGGGAACUCCUGAGAGGCAUCAGAAGCUUACUGCAUGUUUGCACGGGAUGUCCUGACACAGUCAGAUUGACCUGGCAGGGGAAAGAGAAACAGCUUUUUUUUAUACCCCAGUCUAUAGAGUGCCACCAUAUCCUGCCUGGUGCAGGGUCUUUCACAUGUAAGACUGGAAAUUGACUUUCUCUUCAUCUGACCACUGACCUGAGCAUACUGGAUCCAUCCCAACGUGUGAUACCUGUUUUGUUUUCGCUAAGUCUUAUAGCAUUUCAUUUGGGAAUUAGAAUUAUGUUAGCUUGCUCUAGGAACAAGCAUUUUUGUCAGGUUGAUGGAAACUGCAUCUGGAUGAGGGUUUCUCAGAGGGUACACUUCAAGUUCCUUGUUUUAAGGGUGUUUGGCAAUAUGCCACCUCUGACACAGUUCUGGGGUUCCUCUGCUGACUUCGUGCUAUUUCUCCAUGGGGGUAGUGGUGAUGAUGCCAUAAGCAUAUCAGAUCCAGAUAUAUCAAUUACUUAUUUAUAUCUGUAGAAGUUGAAGUGUAAAAAUAUAAAUUCUUAAAAUUGAAAAAAUUAUGUAUGUUAUUUACAAUGUGAUAUUCUACAAUGCUUAUGAAAUGGCCAAUCAAGCAUGAUAGCAUAUGAUCUGCCUCAUAUGGCUACCAUUUAAAAUUUAUCAUUAUUAUUGUUAUUCUUUUAGUGUAUGUGGGAGGGGGAGAUUCCUGGCAUGCAUGGAGGCCAGACUGUGAAGCCAGUUCUGUCCUUUCAUCCUUAUAUGGAUUUCACAGAUGAAACUCUGAUUGCCCUGCUUUUGUAGCUAGCCAUCUUGCUAAUUGAUUGAUAAGAACACUUCAUGCUUCCUUUGUGAAAUUUUCCGUGCCAGUAUUAUGGUGCUUUGAUUACAAAAGCUUUAUAGUAACUUUUGAAGUCAGGAAACAUGAUGCCUCCUCCAACUUUGUUCUUUUCACUUGAGAUGGGUUUGGGUAUUUGGGAGUCUCAGCAAUGCCAUUUGAAUUUUAGGAAAUUGUUCUAUUUCCAUGAAAAAUAUCUUAGACACUUUAAGACUGUGUUGAAUACAGUUUGCUUUAGAUUGUGUAUACAUUUUAACAAUAUUGACAACUUCAGUGUGUGAACAUAGGAUUUUUUUUAUUUAUAAAUUGUCCUUAGUAUCCACAAGUGAUUAUUUCCAGGACCCUACACAGAAUCUCUGAAUACUCAUGUUAUUUAUAUAAAAUUCCAUAAUAUUUAUAUAUAACCUAUGCAUCUAUUGCUUCUUUCUUCAGACAAUCUCUGAGUUGCUUAUAUUACUUAAUAUAGUACAAGCACUAUGUAUAUAGGCAUCAUACUGUAUUUUUCAGGGACACAGUGACACAAAAUAAGAACCUGUGUAUAUGU